ACGGGUGAGUAACGCGUAGGAAUCUGCCUUGAAGCGGGGGACAACUAGAGGAAACUCUAGCUAAUACCGCAUAACAUCGAGAGAUUAAAGCUGGGGCAACCUGGCACUUCAAGAGGAGCCUGCGUCCGAUUAGCUAGUUGGUUAGGUAAAGGCUGACCAAGGCGAUGAUCGGUAACUGGUCUGAGAGGACGACCAGUCACACUGGGACUGAGACACGGCCCAGACUCCUACGGGAGGCAGCAGUGGGGAAUAUUGGACAAUGGGGGCAACCCUGAUCCAGCAAUGCCGCGUGUGUGAAGAAGGCCUUCGGGUUGUAAAGCACUUUAGGAUGGGAAGAAGAUAUGUAUUUUAAGAGAUAACAUAUUUGACGGUACCAUCAGAAUAAGCACCGGCUAACUCUGUGCCAGCAGCCGCGGUAAUACAGAGGGUGCAAGCGUUAAUCGGAGUUACUGGGCGUAAAGGGUGCGUAGGUUGUUUAAUAAGUUAGUUGUGAAAUCCCCGGGCUUAACCUGGGAACUGCAACUGAUACUGUUAGACUAGAGUACUGUAGAGGGUAGUGGAAUUUCCGGUGUAGCGGUG
rnacentral:rRNA from 1 species